rnacentral:rRNA from 1 species
GUCGAACGAUGAACCACUUCGGUGGGGAUUAGUGGCGAACGGGUGAGUAACACGUGGGCAAUCUGCCCUUCACUCUGGGACAAGCCCUGGAAACGGGGUCUAAUACCGGAUACUGACCCUYGCAGGCAUCUGCGAGGUUCGAAAGCUCCGGCGGUGAAGGAUGAGCCCGCGGCCUAUCAGCUUGUUGGUGAGGUAAUGGCUCACCAAGGCGACGACGGGUAGCCGGCCUGAGAGGGCGACCGGCCACACUGGGACUGAGACACGGCCCAGACUCCUACGGGAGGCAGCAGUGGGGAAUAUUGCACAAUGGGCGAAAGCCUGAUGCAGCGACGCCGCGUGAGGGAUGACGGCCUUCGGGUUGUAAACCUCUUUCAGCAGGGAAGAAGCGAAAGUGACGGUACCUGCAGAAGAAGCGCCGGCUAACUACGUGCCAGCAGCCGCGGUAAUACGUAGGGCGCAAGCGUUGUCCGGAAUUAUUGGGCGUAAAGAGCUCGUAGGCGGCUUGUCACGUCGGUUGUGAAAGCCCGGGGCUUAACCCCGGGUCUGCAGUCGAUACGGGCAGGCUAGAGUUCGGUAGGGGAGAUCGGAAUUCCUGGUGUAGCGGUGAAAUGCGCAGAUAUCAGGAGGAACACCGGUGGCGAAGGCGGAUCUCUGGGCCGAUACUGACGCUGAGGAGCGAAAGCGUGGGGAGCGAACAGGAUUAGAUACCCUGGUAGUCCACGCCGUAAACGGUGGGCACUANGUGUGGGCAACAUUCCACGUUGUCCGUGCCGCAGCUAACGCAUUAAGUGCCCCGCCUGGGGAGUACGGCCGCAAGGCUAAAACUCAAAGGAAUUGACGGGNGGCCCGCACAAGCGGCGGAGCAUGUGGCUUAAUUCGACGCAACGCGAAGAACCUUACCAAGGCUUGACAUACACCGGAAAGCAUCAGAGAUGGUGCCCCCCUUGUGGUCGGUGUACAGGUGGUGCAUGGCUGUCGUCAGCUCGUGUCGUGAGAUGUUGGGUUAAGUCCCGCAACGAGCGCAACCCUUGUCCCGUGUUGCCAGCAAGCCCUUCGGGGUGUUGGGGACUCACGGGAGACCGCCGGGGUCAACUCGGAGGAAGGUGGGGACGACGUCAAGUCAUCAUGCCCCUUAUGUCUUGGGCUGCACACGUGCUACAAUGGCCGGUACAAUGAGCUGCGAUACCGCAAGGUGGAGCGAAUCUCAAAAAGCCGGUCUCAGUUCGGAUUGGGGUCUGCAACUCGACCCCAUGAAGUCGGAGUCGCUAGUAAUCGCAGAUCAGCAUUGCUGCGGUGAAUACGUUCCCGGGCCUUGUACACACCGCCCGUCACGUCACGAAAGUCGGUAACACCCGAAGCCGGUGGCCCAACCCCUUGUGGGAGGGAGCUGUCGAAGGUGGGACUGGCGAUGGGACGA